rnacentral:lncRNA from 1 species
GCGGCCGCGCACUAAGUGCGGAGAGUGAAGUUGAGGAACCAGCCAGGGGUCCAGGGGAGGCCAGGGGUGAGAGGCCAGGCCCAGCCUGUCAGCUGUGUGGGGGGCCGACAGCAGCCUGGGCAACCUGAGGCGGCAUCAGCGCACCCACACAGGGCCUCCCACUCCUCCCUGCCCAACCUGUGGCUUUCGAUGCUGUGCUCCACGACCAACCCGGCCUCCCAGUCCCACAGAGCAGGAGGGGACAAUGCCCCGACGAUCAGAAGAUGCGCUGAUCCUGCCAGACUUGAGUCUUCAUGUGCCACCAGGUGGUGCCAGUUUCCUGCCAGACUGUGGGCAGCUGCGGGGUGAAGGGGAGAGCUUGUGUGGAACUGGAUCCGAACCACUGCCAGAGCUACUGUUCCCUUGGACCUGCCGGGGCUGUGGACAGGAACUGGAGGAGGGUGAGGGCAGCAGGCUGGGAGCUGCCAUGUGUGGGCGCUGCAUGCGAGGAGAGGCUGGAGGGGUUGCCACUGGGGGACCCCAGGGCCCUG